rnacentral:rRNA from 1 species
GACGAACGCUGGCGGCGUGCUUAACACAUGCAAGUCGAACGGGCCUGUCUUCUUUUUUGGGGGGUGGGUUGAGUGGCGAACGGGUGAGUAUCACGUGAGUAACCUGCCCUUCGGUCCUGGAUAACCGCUUGAAAGGGCGGCUAAUACGGGGUGGUCCGGUUGGUCCGCAUGGGCUGGUCGGGAUAGAUUCACUGUUUUUGGUGUUUCGGCGGGGGAUGGGCUCGCGGCCUAUCAGCUUGUUGGUGGGGUGAUGGCCGACCAAGGCGGUGACGGGUAGCCGGCCUGAGAGGGGGGGCGGCCACACUGGGACUGAGAUACGGCCCAGACUCCUGCGGGAGGCAGCAGUGGGGGGUAUUGCACAAUGGGCGGAAGCCUGAUGCAGCGACGUCGCGUGAGGGAUGGAGGCCUUCGGGUUGUGAACCUCUGUUUCCGGUGGUGAAGGCCCUGUCCGUGUGGUGGGGUUGACGGUAGCCGGGGAUGAAGCGCCGGCUAACUACGUG